GGCGAGGCGGCGAGCCGGAGAAGGAUGAAUCCGCCGGAGCUGAUGGACGACCUCGUCGACGAGAUCCUCCUCCGCCUCCCCCCCGACGAGCCCGCCUGCCUCGCCCGCGCCUCCGCCGUCUGCAAGCGCUGGCGCCGCCUCCUCUCCGACCGGGCCUUCCUCCUCCGCCGCCGACGCCGCGCGCCGCCUCCCCUGCUGGGUUUCCUCCACAACCUCGACAACGCCGACCACCCCGACCGCUUCGUCCCCACCACCGCCCUCCCGAUCCCCCCGCCGCCACCCGAGCUCCACUGCGGGAUGGCCCUCGACUGCCGCCAUGGCUGCGCCCUCCUCGACGCCUACCCCUCCAGGAUCGACCUCGUCGUGUGGCACCCCAUGACGGGCCACCUGCUGCGGCGGCUUCCCCGCCCCGACGUCCCGUACCUCUUGUACUACAACGCCGCGGUGCUCUGCGCCGCCGCCGCCGCCGGCUGCGACCACCUCGACUGCCACGAGGGCCCCUUCCGCGUCGUCGUGGUGGGCACCGAGGAGGACAACGAGGCGUGGGCGACCGUGUACUCGUCGGAGUCCGACGAGUGGAGCCCACCGACCUCCGCUCGCCUCGCCCGAGGACCCGAGUUCUGCGUCGAGGGCAAGCCCGCCACCCUCAUCGGAGAUUCGCUCUACUUCGCCCUCGUGUUUGGUAUCGGAGUCGUCAAGUUCGACAUGAAGCGCCAUCGCCUCUCCCUCAUCGAUCCGCCGGCUGAGCUCGACGAUGGCUUCGUGCUCAUGCCGCUGGACAACGAUGGCGUGCUUGGGCUCGCGGCCGUGGAGGAUCACAGCCUCCUCUCUGUGUGGUCAAUGGAUGUGAGCCUGGAUCAUGGACAUGGUGUGGCAAAUUGGGAGAAGUGCAGGGUCAUUGAGCUAGACAGUCUGCUACCAAAUCUUGAUCACUCUACCCCAGUGCUACCAAUUGGAUUUGUGGAGGGUGCCAAUAUCAUCUUCCUGAGAACAGAUGCGGGUGUCUUCACACUUGAGCUCAGAUCAAUGCGUGUCACCAAGGUGUGCAAGAAUGGGUUCUUCUACGCUGUCGUGCCGUACACGAGCUUCUACAUUCCUGGUGUCCAUCUCCAGCAGCAGCACAGCGGACCUCAGAUCAGUAAUGGCCGGGCAUGGGGAUCGCAGGCUGCUAACAUGAGGCGUGGCAGCAGUGAGCAGCCGAGAGAGCGUGCUCCACUGCAUCAGCAGCGACGGGCAGGACGGCCGGUGAACAGCCAACGUCCUACUGGUGAUAUGGUCCGUUCUUCAGGCCGUGCUAGCAGAUUGGCAUCUCAAGUGCGGCCUCCAUGGAGACCCUAAUGAUUCGCAAGGUGGCAAUAGCUGACAAUAAUGUUUAAUCUAUCGUGCAAUUUACAGGUGGUAUAUUGCUAAUCGUCGGUUUUAGUCAUUUGUGCGAUCAAGAAGAAUAUCUUAUGGUUUUGAAUGCAUUGUCAGUACAGAAUAUCUAAACAUGGAAAGAGCAGAUUAACUGAGAGGAGUGAGAGCUCUAUCUCGUAUCCGCUAACUGAAUUUCCAGUUAUAACAUCCAAUUUGUUUAUGGGCUUUCCCAUUGUCAUACUGCAAGUCUGGUGAAUGUUUAUUUCAAGCAUUGCACACACUUUUCUUUCUUGACU
rnacentral:lncRNA from 1 species